CCUACGGGAGGCAGCAGUGGGGAAUAUUGGGCAAUGGGCGCAAGCCUGACCCAGCAACGCCGCGUGAAGGAAGAAGGCUUUCGGGUUGUAAACUUCUUUUGUCAGGGAAGAGUAGAAGACGGUACCUGACGAAUAAGCCACGGCUAACUACGUGCCAGCAGCCGCGGUAAUACGUAGGUGGCAAGCGUUGUCCGGAUUUACUGGGUGUAAAGGGCGUGUAGCCGGGUUGACAAGUCAGAUGUGAAAACCAUGGGCUCAACCUGUGGCCUGCAUUUGAAACUGGUUUUCUUGAGUACUGGAGAGGCAGACGGAAUUCCUAGUGUAGCGGUGAAAUGCGUAGAUAUUAGGAGGAACACCAGUGGCGAAGGCGGUCUGCUGGACAGCAACUGACGCUGAGGCGCGAAAGCGUGGGGAGCAAACAGGAUUAGAUACCCGUGUAGUC
rnacentral:rRNA from 1 species